GCGCCGUUAGCUCAAUCGGCAGAGCAACUGACUCUUAAUCAGUAGGUUGAAGGUUCGAUUCCUUCACGGCGUACCA
rnacentral:tRNA from 1 species